rnacentral:rRNA from 1 species
UACGGAGGGUGCAAGCGUUAUCCGGAUUCACUGGGUUUAAAGGGUGCGUAGGUGGGCAGUUAAGUCAGUGGUGAAAUCUCCGGGCUCAACCCGGAAACUGCCAUUGAUACUAUCUGUCUUGAAUAUCGUGGAGGUAAGCGGAAUAUGUCAUGUAGCGGUGAAAUGCUUAGAUAUGACAUAGAACACCAAUUGCGAAGGCAGCUUACUACCCGAAUAUUGACACUGAGGCACGAAAGCGUGGGGAGCAAACAGG